AUUUUCAUCAACCUUAUCACUUUGCACGACCAUUACUCUGAAAAAAAAGAGAGAAAAGAAAACCAAAAACCAUUUCUUGGAAGGUUUGAAGAAAUUCUAAGGAGAUCCAAGUGAAAUCAAAGCCAAAGAAGUGGAUUAAGCUUAGUUCUAGCCUUUUUAUGAUAUUUCUUGGUGGUUUCCAAGUGGUUUCCAAGUGGUUUGAGGUUUAGAAAAGCUAGAAGAGAUUGUUUUCGCUGAAAAGUUGCUCGGAUAAGCACAUCAACACCUAAGACACCACUUGUUACACGGUGAAAUAUAUUUUAGACAGAAGUGUGUGGCCGCCUUAACUCUUGAGCCCGACGGGGCAACGAUGGAAUAAUGUUUUUAAUGUGCCCUACUGUGGUGAUGGCUAGCCGGAGGAGAACCUAUGGGAUUUUAUAUGAUAUGUGUAACAAGCCAUGUAGGCAUUGGCCUAAUCAAACAGUGUGCACAAUUUUAAGGGGCCCAAAAUUUAAAAAAAAGUUGUGUAUGUCCUUUAACAUUGAGUAAUCAUUAGCAUUGCAUGCAUUACUUUGCUUACUGAGCUUUAGACUCACAGUUGUCUUGUGUUGCAAGUAGAGAAAGAAAUGAGUGAAUGACAUAAGGAGAACUGAAGCAUGGUCCUGACCCUGAUUUGUACAUAUGAACAUAUCGACCUUUUUGUGGGUUAUUUCAGUUAUCAGUGUGAUGUUUGUAAUAAAGUGUGAAGUUAUGUUUUGAAAACAAAUUGGGUUAUUUAAUACUUGUGUAUAAUAUGUUUGAGACACACUUUAUGUUUAAUGUAAAUAA